UACGUAGGGGGCUAGCGUUGUCCGGAUUUAUUGGGCGUAAAGAGCGUGUAGGCGGCCAGGUAGGUCUGCUGUGAAAACUCGAGGCUCAACCUCGAGACGUCGGCGGAAACCAUCUGGCUAGAGUCCGGAAGAGGAGAGUGGAAUUCCUGGUGUAGCGGUGAAAUGCGUAGAGAUGUGGAGGAACACCGAUGGCGAAGGCAGCCUCCUGGGCCAGCACUGACGCUCAUGCACGAAAGCGUGGGGAGCAAACAGG
rnacentral:rRNA from 1 species